GAAAGAGACAGAAGAAAGAUAGAGAAAGAGAGGAGAAAGAUAGAGAAAGAGAGGAAGAGAGAGAAGGAGAGAAAACACAAGAACGCGGGUGAACGUGAUUAAGAACAAGUUAUAAUAUCUGUUGGAGUGAAUUUAUAUGUUGGCGAAUGUGGAAGAUCAAAAAGAACAUUCUUUUUUAUUCUAAAUCAAAGGAGGCAAGUGAGAACACGGUGAAGAACAGUUUAUUAUCUCAAGAACACAGAGAUAUGAUAAAGAACAUUCGUUUCCUUAUCGAAAGAAGCGAUUGCUGAACACAGAAUGUAGUGAAGAACAGUGACUAGAGAACAUACGUGCGGAAGGAGAGUUCUGGUGAACAACAUAGAAGAACAAAGUGGAGAAUAUUAUUACUAAUUCGCUGUUCAACAGAGAACAUAAGGAAGAUAGACAUUCUACAAUAGAUUGCGUGUUAGAAAUUAUCCAAAAAAAAAAAAAAAAGUGUGAUAUUAAUUUCAAACUUAAAAUGCAACUCCAUUUUUGAAAUUGAACAGAAAGGAAUGAGAAAUAUUUGUGUGAAAAUCACGAGAUGAACAUCGCCUUUGAACGUUGGUUGAAAUUCAAGAACCCGCGUGCCAUCUGACCUCAACACAGUGCCUUCAUAGUGCCACCUACGGGCGAGAGAGACCGGAAAGAAAGUAAUGACCAGUGUCUCGACAUCCGUGCCUUGUGUGUGUGUUUAGGUUUUCGUAGUGUAACCGACCGGGCAUUCCGCCGUGCCUUUGACACUGUGUGAACUAGUUUUCCCUUCGAGCAAAACUUGAGAGCGAUUUCGAAUGUCCCCUCAUUUCCUUUGAUAGAUGUGGUAUCCUUAGUUUUCUAGAAUCAUUUCGAUCUGAAGAUUAAUUCUGGAUAUAAUUAAAUCAUUGUAGAUAUAAAGAAAAUAAUCAGAAAGAGAGAAAAAGAGAAAAAAAAAGGUUGUGACGAGGUUUGAGAAAUCGGAAAAUUACGUGUACGAGAGCACGUCUCUGCCAGACCCGUCCCCCUCCCCCCUCCCCUCGACCCCCGGAGGACCCCCACGAGCGACCCCAGCGCGCGAGAAGCCCUCGGGGUGGAGUUCUCAGCCAUGUUCCCGCCGGGCAGCGCGGGCGGGUACGGCCAGGAGGGCGGCCAGAACCUCCUCACGCCCUCCAUGUACUCGUCCCACGCCCACACACACAUGCUGCCCUACAACUCGUACUCGGCGCAGCUCGUGCAGCCGUCCACGCCCUCGCCGUCCAUGUGGCAGACGCCCCCGCACACGGCCCUCGCGCCCUCGGCCCCGCCCGCCGACCAGACCUUCUCCUCGCCCCUGGGAUUCAACAGCGGGCGUGAGGGCUACCUGCAGGGCGCGGGCUCCCAGGGCUUGCAGGCGCCCAUCAGCCCGUACCAAGCCUACGCCCAGAUGAACCACGGCAUGUGGCGCCACUACGACUCCAUGGGCCUCCAAGGGCAUCACCAAUUACCCCGGCAGCGAAUUUUGCGCCGAAAGUCGGGAGUGUGUAAACUGCGGCGCCGUGCAGACCCCGCUAUGGAGACGCGAUGCAACUGGUCACUAUUUAUGCAACGCCUGCGGUCUCUACACCAAGAUGAAUGGGAUUAAUAGGCCGCUCAUUAAGCAUUCUAGGAGAUUGGACGGUUUCUCCUUCCAAACCUCUGCGCGUCGAAUGGGCCUCAUGUGUUCCAACUGCGGGACAACCACGACCACUCUCUGGCGCAGAAAUAAUGAAGGCGAGCCCGUGUGCAACGCAUGCGGCCUCUACUACAAGUUGCACGGGAUCAACCGGCCGUUGCAGAUGCGGAAGGACUCGAUCCAGAGCCGCA
rnacentral:misc_RNA from 1 species